rnacentral:tRNA from 1 species
UGGGGCGUCGACUAAUCGGCAAGUCACCGGACUUUGACUCCGGUUUUGCAGGUUCGAGCCCUGCCGCCCCAA